AUUGAACGCUGGCGGCAGGCCUAACACAUGCAAGUCGAACGGCAACAGGGAGAGGGCUUCUUCUUUCCUGUGGCGUGGGGGGGGCGUGAGAAAUGUCUAUGGAACUGUCUGAUGGAGGGGGGUAACUAGUGGAAACGGUAACUAAAACCGCAUAAAGUCCCAACAGCAAAAAGCAGGAGCUCCUGGCCUCUUGCCAUCGUGUAUGCCCAGAUGGGAUUUGCGAGUGGGUGGGGUAACGGCUCACCCAGGCGACGAGCCCUAGCUGGUCUGAGAGGAUGAUCAGCCACACUGGAACUGAGACACGGUCCAGACUCCUACGGGAGGCAGCAGUGGGGAAUAUUGGACAAUGGGCGCAAGCCUGAUGCAGCCAUGCCGCGUGUGUGAAGAAGGCCUUCGGGUUGUAAAGCACUUUUGGUGGGGAGGAAGGGAAGAAAGUUAAUACCUUGCUGUAUUGACGUUACCCAAAGAAUAAGCACCGGCUAACUUCGUG
rnacentral:rRNA from 1 species